AUUGAACGCUGGCGGCAGGCCUAACACAUGCAAGUCGAGCGGAUGACGGGAGCUUGCUCCUUGAUUCAGCGGCGGACGGGUGAGUAAUGCCUAGGAAUCUGCCUGGUAGUGGGGGACAACGUUUCGAAAGGAACGCUAAUACCGCAUACGUCCUACGGGAGAAAGCAGGGGACCUUCGGGCCUUGCGCUAUCAGAUGAGCCUAGGUCGGAUUAGCUAGUUGGUGAGGUAAUGGCUCACCAAGGCGACGAUCCGUAACUGGUCUGAGAGGAUGGUCAGUCACACUGGAACAGAGACACGGGCCAGACUCCUAGGGGAGGCAGCAGUGGGGAAUAUUGGACAAUGGGCGAAAGCCUGAUCCAGCCAUGCCGCGUGUGUGAAGAAGGUCUUCGGAUUGUAAAGCACUUUAAGUUGGGAGGAAGGGCAGUAAGUUAAUACCUUGCUGUUGACGUUACCGACAGAAUAAGCACCGGCUAACUUCGUGCCAGCCGCCGCCGUAAAAC
rnacentral:rRNA from 1 species